UCCUCGUGGCCCCAGAACUAAUUUGAAAAAAUCGUUUAUCGCUGCUGUCGCCACUAUCUCUCUCAAUCACUCGCGGCCCUGAAACGCUAGCCUUGGCCCAGCUUCGACGAUUUCACUGCAUUAGCCCCAGCACAUAGCGUUGCCGCUGCCAUGGGCUCCUUGCCGCAGAGCCAGCAUUGACGCUGCUGUCUCUCGAGAGAUAAUUGUUAAUUCAAUCGGUCAUAUACGUGCCCCAGCCUCGACGGUACUUCUCGGGAUCGGGAAGAUGAACUUGAGUCACCGAGCUUGAAGAACAGAUCAGAAUUCAGAAAUAGGUGUUACGUACUAGCCUGGAGAGAAGAAAACGAUACACAUAUGUGGUCAGAACAUGGAAAUCGACGAUAGCUACAAGUUUGGAAGGAAGAAAACGACACUCAUUCGGGAAAUAAUCCCCAUUUGGUCGGUCAUAUUAGCAUCACUUGAGAUCUUAAUUAGUCUCGUCGAACUCUCCAACCUUUUGUGAUCUUCAUCAGGGUCCUCAGAAUACUUACAAGAGAGACAUGGUAUACGGCCCCCACUGAAAUUGGGUUUUCCAUUA